UACGGACGGGGCAAGCGUUGUUCGGAAUCAUUGGGCGUAAAGGGCGUGUAGGUGGUUCUGUAUGUCUACCGUGAAAGCGUACGGCUCAACCGUAUUUAGUCGGUAGAAACUGCAGGACUUGAGGCUGGGAGGGGCUGGUGGAAUUCCUGGUGUAGGAGUGAAAUCCGUAGAUAUCAGGAGGAACAUCGGCGGCGAAGGCGGCCAACUGGUGAUGCAUUGACGCUGAGGUGCGAAAGCGUGGGGAGCAAACAGG
rnacentral:rRNA from 1 species